CACAUUCUAUAAAUCACUCUCAUAUUGGCUGAAUGGGUCCAACCUGAGCUGUUAGGAUGGGAAUUGAACAUAUUUAUUCUUUCAGAAGCGGUAAUUGGACGUCUAUUAGGUGGUGGGCCUUUAACGAGAUUUGAAACUGGUGGAUGGACGGCUUCUCAGGGAACAGACACAACACUAUCGGACCCUCCCACUCAGAAUCCUUAUGCGUUAAACCUGCUCAAGAAUAUGUGCUUACCUGUUGACAACCCUCCCAGUUCCCAGCUGCCACUGGAUGUCCCUCCUAGCCAAUGCUGAAAUGCAAUCACAUUUGCCAUCCUUCUUGGGGUCUCUGAAGAGUAAAUAGAUGCUCAGCUGCCAUGAAUUCUACACUUACAAGAGCCCAAGCUCUGCCGACACCCAAGAGGGCUAAGUGGAUCCUUCUCUAUUCAGACCACCAAAUAGAAGCACAGUCUACUCAACACCUUGCUCUAAGCUUUGUGAAAUUCUGAGCUCAGGACCCAAGUAACUUGUGCUCAGACUCUUGAUCCACAGAAAUUGUGUGAUAAGAAAUGAAGAAUGUUUUAAGCUGUUAAAUUUCUGGCGAUUUGUUAUGUGGAAAGUAAUAUCACUACUCAUAUUAAAUACAUUCAACUUA